CGCCGGCCGACAGCUGGGGCGGGGACGGGGACGCGAUCCCCGCCGACCCGGUCCGUGUGAAUGACGUCUCUUGGCUGGCCUGGGCGCCUGCCCUUCAGGCUCCGGACUGCCGCAGAGCCGCUCCUGCGCUACACUCUCCACCCCCUCACUUCGGGCUCAGAGGGUCUCCCCACCCGGUGCCACCUGCGCCCCCAGAUGAGGCCGGGCGGAGUGCUCUCAUCGCUCAGCAUCGGUGCUGCACUGUGGUUUCGGGGCAUUGGAGCCUUUUUUCAAAAAAUGGGAGUCGAGCACAUAGGGAAAUCUGUCCACCAGGUUGGCAGGUGGUGCUUGGCACAGGGUAGACGCUUAAAUAUUUAGGCCUUUAGUAAGGAUGGUAUUUGUUAAGCGCCUUCAGUGUACCAGCCACUUGAAGGCUUUGUGGCAGAUGCACCAGAAAGGUGCACUUCUACAGAGAGUCAAUGUUGUAUUUUGUCAUUCAACCUGUUUUUCAAGUCAGCCCUCCUACUCUUAAGAUUAUCGUGUUUAAGUACAGAAAAUCUGUGAUUUAAGGCACUUUGAGUUAAGUGCUCACUGUGUGCAGAGUUCAAUAGUUAGUAGACACAAUCCCUGACCACAAAGAGCUUACUAUCUACAUAUGUGGGUUUCAGCUUUACAAAAAAUUAGUUGUUCUUCAUAGGUGAAGACACCACUACUCACUGAUUGGGAAAGUCACCUAUGAGUCCCUGCAUGACUGAAAAGGUCAUGCAUGCACCCACAGCCCUGAUCACCUUGUGGACCCCCCAAGGAAUUUCUUGUGGUUUUCGUUAGGUUCAAAGUUGCAGUACCUGACACUUCUCUUUUGCCUCCUUGUUCAUUGUUCCUUAAGAAGCUUGAGCUCAAAACAGCCCACUCGCUUCUUGAUAGUAGUGUGCCGUGCUGAUCCUUGGCAAUUGUCUAUUUUCAGCUGGGAGGCAGCGUGUUCUGAAACUUUGUUUUCCCAUAUCCUUAAAAUAUCUCCUCUGCCCUUGCUCUUGGUUUCUCAAUUUCCACUCUCUGUCCAGCAGCUGUCUGGGUGUCUUGCUGUCAUUCAUUCCCAAGUGCCCCACCCAACUUUGACACUAGGCUCCUUUUGUGGCACUAGCUUCAAGGGGUUGGGGGAGCUAGGAGGGUACACUGGGAAUUGGGGAACUAUUUUCAAAGCUGCACUGGACUGGUUGCGGGGCAGGGGGAGGUGGCAGCAGGAAAAUUUCUAAAGGACAAGGAGGUGGGAGGGAUGAGGCCAGAGGGCCUCGGGGAGGGAAGGGUUACUUGCUCAUCAGGGCCGUCACCUGGAAGGAUCCACAUGACUUAUUAACGUGAAGUAAAAGUUGGUUACUCUGUUGUGGAGCCCCCUGACAAUAUAAAGACAUUAAAGACAUUCAUUUGGCUAUAUUA